rnacentral:tRNA from 1 species
GCAUUGGUGGUUCAGUGGUAGAAUUCUCGCCUGCCACGCGGGGGAGACCGGGGUUCGAUUCCCCGCCAAUGCA